UACGGAGGAUCCAAGCGUUAUCCGGAUUUAUUGGGUUUAAAGGGUGCGCAGGUGGAAGAUUAAGUCGGCGGUGAAAUUUUGCAGCUCAACUGUAAAAGUGCCAUCGAUACUGGUUUUCUUGAGUGUGGAUGAAGUAGGCGGAAUUUGUGGUGUAGCGGUGAAAUGCAUAGAUAUCACGAGGAACUCCGAUUGCGCAGGCAGCUUACUAAACCAUAACUGACGCUCAGGCACGAAGGCGUGGGGAUCAAACAGGAUUAGAUA
rnacentral:rRNA from 1 species